CGUCUUCUCAGCUCUCACAGGGCCCGCAGCGGCGCUAUACCUUCGGCCACAGGUAGCGCGUUCCUUCGCUGUGCUGACCGUCGAUCCCGGGGGCGCUAGAGCGCCGGCUCCGGGGAGGGCAGGGAAGCGUCAGGGACCUUUCUUCUUCUUUUUUUUUUUUUCUUUUUUUGAGACGGAGUCUCGUUCUGUCGCCCAGGCUGGAGUGUAGUGGCGCGAUCUCGGCUCACUGCAAUUUCCGCCUCCCAGGUUCACGCCAUUCUCCUGCCUCAGCCUCCCGAGUAGCUGGGACUACAGGCGCCCGCCACCACGCCCGGCUAAUUUUGUGUAUUUUUAGUAGAGACGGGGUUUCACCGUGUUAGCCAGGAUGGUCUCGAUCUCCUGACUUCGUGAUCCACCCACCUCGGCCUCCCAAAGUGCUGAGAUUACAGGCAUGAGCCACCGCGCCCGGCAAGCGUCAGGGACCUUUCUAGAGCCUUGCUUGGCCUGAGGUCCGGGACUGGGGCUGUCCCCGCUUCCUGUUUCUGCCAUCAGUGGGGCCACAGGCCUGAAGACGGCUUGUACCGCCACCUUGGGCGCCUCUGCUCCUGGCUGCGACGUGGGGCGUCCUAGCCUUCGGACCGGGAACCUGAUAGGAGACGAAUAGAAAGGGGGAAAGCCCUGGAAAAUUAAGCCGGCACAAGAAGGGGGAAACGUUUGGAGGUCAGGCAAGGCUGAUGGCCUUGGGGAUCGCGGAGCAGGAGGCUUACUGGGAUGUCCAGUGUGAGAAUGUCAGCCCGUGAGCUCUGGUGUGCAAGAAAAAUGCCUCUUUUCUGGAUUUCAGGUGAAUUUCUGACUCCUCUGGGCUACAUACGACCACCCUUCCCUGGCCCCCUCUGGUGAACUGGUUAUAAAAGAAAAAUUACCCUAGUUCUUCCUGCGGUCCCCUCCCCAGGGAUUAGGCCAAGUUCUGGAAGCUUAUUGGGUGACUUAGUGGGUAUGUUAAUGGUUAAGUAACGUACCCAAGGUCUUAUUGCCAAUCAGUGGCAAAGUCAGGAUUCAAAUGCAGAUCUCUUGGACUCCAGAGGCUGGAGUUUAUUAAAUGUUUAGCCCCAGCUCUAUUUGAUUUUGGGGGUUUUUUAAGACAGUCUCUAUCUGUUGCCCAGGAUGGAGUGCAGUGGUGCAAUCUUAGCUCACUGCAGCCUUGAACUGUUGGGCUUAAGCAGUCCUCCUGCCUCAGCCUCCCAACUAGCUGGGACUACAGGCGUGUGCCACCACACCUGGUUCCUAGCUCUAUUUGAGACCACAGUGGCCUGAAGUGUAAAGCACACUGGACACUAGGUGUCAAAAAAUAGAACUAGAAGUCAACAAGUGAUCUAAAACAAGAUUCUGUAGGUGUCUGGGCAUCAGUUUCAUCAUCUGGGUGAAAUGGACUUGAACCUGUUAAUAUCCAAGGUCCCUUCAGCCCUAAUAGUCUAGGAAUUCUAGAGAGUGUAACUGCUCAUUUGCAGGCUGCCAUCCAGACCAUCACAACUGUCUUGUGGCUCAUGGAGACUUUCAGAUUGAUGCAGUGGCUCCAAGGCGAAGUGACCUCAAUUGCUGAUGCAAAACUAGAUUCUAUAAGUGUAAACUGGUGGUUCACAAGGACAGGUGAGAAGUGCUGAUGGUGGCAAGGGAGGCAAUUAUAACAAUAUCCCUCCCCUUCUACCCCAUCCUCCACCCCACUUGUGACAGACAUAGACAAGGACUUAAUUGUGGCACAGAGGAAGGGCAACUGACUCUUGAGACCAGUGAAUCUGUAGUCAAAACGCACUGAUCACUGUUGAAUAACUACUGGAAUUAUCAAGAGUCUGGCUGAAUUUACAUUUUACUUUCCAAAACAAAUAUAACCAAAAAUUCCAGUCACUGCAUAAGCCAGAAGCAGGUGACACACAGAAGUGAAGACUGAGGGGAGUUUAGGUGAAAGCUGCAGCUGUUCUCUCCCUUUUAGUGGGGGCUUUAGUUGGACAAGUCAAAAGAGCUUUUUUUUUUUUUUUUUUUUUUUUUUUUUUGAGAUGAAGUCUCACUCUGUUGCCAGGCUGGAGUGGCAUGAUCUCGGCUCACUGCAACCUCUGCCUCUUCAGUUCAAGCACUUAUCCUGCCUCAGCCUCCCAAGUAGCUGGGACUACAGGCACAUGCCACCAUGCCCGGUUAAUUUUUGUAUUUUUAGUAGAGAUGAGGUUUCAACAUGUUGGCCAGGAUGGUCUCAAUCUCUUGACCUCGUGAUCUGCCCACCUUGGCCUCCCAAAGUGAUGGGAUUACAAGCAUGAGCCACUGCGCCCGGCUCAGAACAGAUUUCUGAAGAGGUUGUAUGCAAACUGAUUAUUGUAGACUCAAAGGCUUACACUCCCAUGAAGUAAGAGGGAGCUUUCUUAAAUGUAAGAUAGAAUCAAAAUAUUCCUAGUAG
rnacentral:lncRNA from 1 species